UAUCGGUGUAGUACGCGAAUUCCAUUCAUAGCUAUGCUGUUAUUGUCUGCUAGCAUCGUCAUCAUGGCUUUCCAUGAUUGCAUCAAUAAAUGGUGAAAUUCUUGAAGUCUUACAAUUUAUUUUGCUUUCAAUAUGAUUGAGAAGAAGACUUUUUCAUGGGAAUUCGCUAGGAAGCGUUAAUCAUAAGCAUGAUGACAAAGUGUUGGGCGCACCUGAUUUGGCUACUUGUGUUGAUCAAACACAUUGAUGUCCCGAGUUUCAGCCAGCCUUUGCCAAAUCAUAGUAUAUCUAAUAAGUUCUUCAUCAAAGAACUCCUACCUGGACAGAGAAGUAGCCCCCUCAAAGCGGGUUUCCUUUUGGUCGAACCUCUGCUGGCUUAUAAACCCAUCCUGAAAGACAUUUCAAAAUCAUCUAGGUCAUUAACGUUGACAUUCAAAGGGUGGUCAGGAGCAACAGCAGGGAAGGAACUUCUCAAUUCCAAAACAAUUUCCUCCAACAAUUCCUUCGUGGAAAUCUGGUUAAAGAUCGAGUUCUUCAAUUGAGUCUGAGUUUUUCUGUGUGCCUUUAUUUUCUCGUGGGACAGGAGUUUUUGCGUGAGCUUCACGUCUUCGCACAGUUGUUGGAGCACCAUAGUCAUUUUAUAAAAGGGGAGAUUAGGACCACCCGCAAGCUAGUAAAAGUCAAACGUUAAAUUAGUAACUAAACAGGUUGAAGCAGGACCAGUGGGAUGGAGUCCAGAAUCGACCGCGAAUCCAGUUGCGCUCCAUGUAGACCAUGAGCCCCUCAAGUUCUGGAGCGGCCGAAUUUCGCAAGUAAUCAAACAUGGAAGAUAGGCGAGGCUGAGGAGGCGAGUUACAACAUAGCGUACAGCAUUCGCGCCCUUCUUGUUAUAUUCGGCAGACAAUUUAAAGUCGCGGACCUUCUUCAUUACUGCCUGACACCAAUGGAAAUUGCAUCCCAAGUGAAUGCAAUCGGGGAAAAUUUUCCUCACCGCUACAAACAUGGCCCUUUCAAAGUCAGUGAUUAUUCUUUGAACCCUUGGGAGUGGCAUUAUUUCCUAAAUGUUAGUUUCACGAAAAUUGCAAGAUAGUCGAUUGCCCUUCUUCGCGUCAUGCAGCAGAAAAGAAGUGGUACCUGCUUUAGAUCACCUUUUUCAUUCCUUAUGAGGCCAUUUAUGGACAAUAACUAGGAUCGCGCACAAAGUGGAAUGUAGCGUCGAUAAACCAAAUCUUGCAGUCUUCCAAUUGCCUUUUCAUCACUGAUGUAAAGAAAAGCAGAUGGCGUGUCUUAUUUGUUCCGGAUCCAGCAAACACAGCUCCUUGAAAAAAAUCUUCAGGGAAGAAUUCGACGUCGAUAUGAAAAAAUGGAUCAUCCUUCCUCGGAUUCGGAGGCAAGCAUUUGGACCUUAAAUAUCUAAAGUUACCCGCUGAUGAUUCCCGUAGUCUGGCUAUCGAGAUUGGACUUAAUUGCUUGUGCAAUUGUUGCUUUGCAGUAAUCUGCAUAAUGCCGAGACGUGCAGCGCCAAGUAAUUGUUUUUCCGGUGGUCCUUUUUACAGUGUAGCAAUAACCUUUGUAGUAAAAAGGUCAGCUUUGUUUUGCCUUUGUUAGACCCUUCGAUGAAUAUUUGGAAGUCCGGCUGUGUUGGUGGUUCAAAUGAGGAUUGCUAUUCGGUUGGUUCAGUGGGUAAUUCAGCCCGUAAACCAUCACUUUGGUCAACUCGCGGGGAAACAGGUGAUAGAGAUAAAUCAGCAAUCGCCUAUUAUUGUAAAAAAAAUAAAAAUCGUGUACUUGGGCACGUCGCUUUCUUCGUGGCGGAGCCACAGGCGGAGGAGAAAUUAUUACUGACCUAAUUAAAGAAGGAAGAACAAAAACAAGAAACAUGAGCCUUGGCAAAGGAGAUAGCUGUAGUAUAGAAGAUUACCGUGAAAGCGGAGAUGCUGUUUGAGAAGAUGGUUGUGCGGCCGGUGAUGCUGUAUGAGGGGAAGAUUGUGCGACCGGUGAUGCUGUUUGAGGAGAAGAUUGCGCGGCCGGUAAUGCUGUUUGAGGAGAAGAUUGUGCGCGUGGUGGUGCCAUUUGAGGAGAUGAUUGUGCGAGCCGUACUGCAAAGGAAAAAGUAUGGGGAGUAGUUAAUUGUGGACGAGAUUUAUUCUGCUUUUUAGCAGCAGCACGAUCACCGUUACGAUGUCUGGCUUCAUGCGAAGGGUCUAAAAUUUCCCGUCGCUUAAUGGCCCUUCUCGGACGCACAGAAUUCCCAUCAGUCUUCGCGUCUUCGCCUUCACGGGAACCACUUGCAACGUUGGUAUUAAUGGUUGCACCGUGAGCCUGGUCGCUAUCAUCCGCAGCCGAUGCACCUGCCACAUCUACAGCACCUUCAGUGCAGCCCGCACAACGGUAGUUGCUGGAGAAUUCUUUCCACGUAGGAGAACCUCCUCUUGGAAAGAAAACCGCAACAGGCUCGAUGAAUAGGUGCUUCACACACUAGACACGAACAGAAUUGUUUCCGGCUGGAAACGGAAGAACUACACCGCGAACAUUGCACAGAGGAGAGAGCCAUGAUGACGCUGGGCGGAGGAGGAGCUAUCGGAACUAUUGGCGUUUGGCGAUUCAAGGAUACCCGGGAAGUUGUUAGCGGUUAUGCAAGGCAGAGGAUCUUGAAUGACGCAUGCUACAAGCAACAGAACUGCUUCUUAUGGAAAAGCUUUCUUUGUACAAAACCGCGUCUUUCAUCUUACAUGUCUUCUCUUGAACUAGAAGCGCUGUUGUCCGGAUGAAAACAUGAAUCUCACCUUGGGCAAACAUUUUUCAAUAAAGUAUUCAUCAGUAACUAAAAUUGCAUUGAGCAAAAAUUUGUAAGAGUUUUAUCAAUUUUAUAAAUCAUUUAUUUCUCUUAUAGAGCACAAGCAUAGAUAAUGAAGUUUCGGGUGUCUGUUUCACUCACCAUUUGAACGGUGGUGGAAAAUGCGUGUAGGAGACAGGGUAAAAUCAAAACAUUCAAAUACAAACUGCACGUCUACGUAUC